rnacentral:lncRNA from 1 species
GUGGUCCUUAUUUUUGAACUUUUAUUAUGUUAUUUUUAAAGGCAAAUGCAAAAUGUGGUAUAAUAUUGUAACUACAGCUGAUAUAUUUUUUUGUAAAAUGAACUAACAAAUACUAACACAUAUAUAUUUUACAUGAUCUUUUACUAACAUUAACGAGGCCGGGAUAAGGUACCGGUAUUCGAUGUUUUCAUUACUAACAAAUGUACAGAUUUCAAUAAAAAAUGAAAAUUAAAAAAAAAAAAAAUAAAUAAAUAAAAAAAACUGCAC